UCCUUUGUGGUGUAGUGGUCAGCACACUCGGCGCGUAACCGAGAGGUCCGUGGUUCGAUUCCCGGUGAAGGCC
rnacentral:tRNA from 1 species